UUAAGCGACUAAGCGUACACGGUGGAUGCCCUGGCAGUCAGAGGCGAUGAAGGACGUGCUAAUCUGCGAUAAGCGUCGGUAAGGUGAUAUGAACCGUUAUAACCGGCGAUUUCCGAAUGGGGAAACCCAGUGUGUUUCGACACACUAUCAUUAACUGAAUCCAUAGGUUAAUGAGGCGAACCGGGGGAACUGAAACAUCUAAGUACCCCGAGGAAAAGAAAUCAACCGAGAUUCCCCCAGUAGCGGCGAGCGAACGGGGAGCAGCCCAGAGCCUGAAUCAGUGUGUGUGUUAGUGGAAGCGUCUGGAAAGGCGCGCGAUACAGGGUGACAGCCCCGUACACAAAAAUGCACAUACUGUGAGCUCGAUGAGUAGGGCGGGACACGUGGUAUCCUGUCUGAAUAUGGGGGGACCAUCCUCCAAGGCUAAAUACUCCUGACUGACCGAUAGUGAACCAGUACCGUGAGGGAAAGGCGAAAAGAACCCCGGCGAGGGGAGUGAAAAAGAACCUGAAACCGUGUACGUACAAGCAGUGGGAGCACAGAGCAAUCUGUGUGACUGCGUACCUUUUGUAUAAUGGGUCAGCGACUUAUAUUCUGUAGCAAGGUUAACCGAAUAGGGGAGCCGAAGGGAAACCGAGUCUUAACUGGGCGUUAAGUUGCAGGGUAUAGACCCGAAACCCGGUGAUCUAGCCAUGGGCAGGUUGAAGGUUGGGUAACACUAACUGGAGGACCGAACCGACUAAUGUUGAAAAAUUAGCGGAUGACUUGUGGCUGGGGGUGAAAGGCCAAUCAAACCGGGAGAUAGCUGGUUCUCCCCGAAAGCUAUUUAGGUAGCGCCUCGUGAAUUCAUCUCCGGGGGUAGAGCACUGUUUCGGCAAGGGGGUCAUCCCGACUUACCAACCCGAUGCAAACUGCGAAUACCGGAGAAUGUUAUCACGGGAGACACACGGCGGGUGCUAACGUCCGUCGUGAAGAGGGAAAUAACCCAGACCGCCAGCUAAGGUCCCAAAGUCAUGGUUAAGUGGGAAACGAUGUGGGAAGGCCCAGACAGCCAGGAUGUUGGCUUAGAAGCAGCCAUCAUUUAAAGAAAGCGUAAUAGCUCACUGGUCGAGUCGGCCUGCGCGGAAGAUGUAACGGGGCUAAACCAUGCACCGAAGCUGCGGCAGCGACGCUUAUGCGUUGUUGGGUAGGGGAGCGUUCUGUAAGCCUGCGAAGGUGUGCUGUGAGGCAUGCUGGAGGUAUCAGAAGUGCGAAUGCUGACAUAAGUAACGAUAAAGCGGGUGAAAAGCCCGCUCGCCGGAAGACCAAGGGUUCCUGUCCAACGUUAAUCGGGGCAGGGUGAGUCGACCCCUAAGGCGAGGCCGAAAGGCGUAGUCGAUGGGAAACAGGUUAAUAUUCCUGUACUUGGUGUUACUGCGAAGGGGGGACGGAGAAGGCUAUGUUGGCCGGGCGACGGUUGUCCCGGUUUAAGCGUGUAGGCUGGUUUUCCAGGCAAAUCCGGAAAAUCAAGGCUGAGGCGUGAUGACGAGGCACUACGGUGCUGAAGCAACAAAUGCCCUGCUUCCAGGAAAAGCCUCUAAGCAUCAGGUAACAUCAAAUCGUACCCCAAACCGACACAGGUGGUCAGGUAGAGAAUACCAAGGCGCUUGAGAGAACUCGGGUGAAGGAACUAGGCAAAAUGGUGCCGUAACUUCGGGAGAAGGCACGCUGAUAUGUAGGUGAAGUCCCUCGCGGAUGGAGCUGAAAUCAGUCGAAGAUACCAGCUGGCUGCAACUGUUUAUUAAAAACACAGCACUGUGCAAACACGAAAGUGGACGUAUACGGUGUGACGCCUGCCCGGUGCCGGAAGGUUAAUUGAUGGGGUCAGCGCAAGCGAAGCUCUUGAUCGAAGCCCCGGUAAACGGCGGCCGUAACUAUAACGGUCCUAAGGUAGCGAAAUUCCUUGUCGGGUAAGUUCCGACCUGCACGAAUGGCGUAAUGAUGGCCAGGCUGUCUCCACCCGAGACUCAGUGAAAUUGAACUCGCUGUGAAGAUGCAGUGUACCCGCGGCAAGACGGAAAGACCCCGUGAACCUUUACUAUAGCUUGACACUGAACAUUGAGCCUUGAUGUGUAGGAUAGGUGGGAGGCUUUGAAGUGUGGACGCCAGUCUGCAUGGAGCCGACCUUGAAAUACCACCCUUUAAUGUUUGAUGUUCUAACGUUGACCCGUGAUCCGGGUUGCGGACAGUGUCUGGUGGGUAGUUUGACUGGGGCGGUCUCCUCCUAAAGAGUAACGGAGGAGCACGAAGGUUGGCUAAUCCUGGUCGGACAUCAGGAGGUUAGUGCAAUGGCAUAAGCCAGCUUGACUGCGAGCGUGACGGCGCGAGCAGGUGCGAAAGCAGGUCAUAGUGAUCCGGUGGUUCUGAAUGGAAGGGCCAUCGCUCAACGGAUAAAAGGUACUCCGGGGAUAACAGGCUGAUACCGCCCAAGAGUUCAUAUCGACGGCGGUGUUUGGCACCUCGAUGUCGGCUCAUCACAUCCUGGGGCUGAAGUAGGUCCAAGGGUAUGGCUGUUCGCCAUUUAAAGUGGUACGCGAGCUGGGUUUAGAACGUCGUGAGACAGUUCGGUCCCUAUCUGCCGUGGGCGCUGGAGAACUGAGGGGGGCUGCUCCUAGUACGAGAGGACCGGAGUGGACGCAUCACUGGUGUUCGGGUUGUCAUGCCAAUGGCACUGCCCGGUAGCUAAAUGCGGAAGAGAUAAGUGCUGAAAGCAUCUAAGCACGAAACUUGCCCCGAGAUGAGUUCUCCCUGACUCCUUGAGAGUCCUGAAGGAACGUUGAAGACGACGACGUUGAUAGGCCGGGUGUGUAAGCGCAGCGAUGCGUUGAGCUAACCGGUACUAAUGAACCGUGAGGCUUAACCUU
rnacentral:rRNA from 1 species